rnacentral:lncRNA from 1 species
GCAGCUGUGCCCUUCAAUCAAACCCCUCAUUGUGAACACCAGACGUGUCUUCUCCCUACCGCACAAGGCUGACAAACUGUAUACCUCCGGGGAGCCCCGCCCACAUUGCAUGCGGUAGAACAUGAAGAGCAUGUACAAAAGGACAGAAAACAUAAACUCAUGCCUGGCAGAGAGCUUCUACUCUGAAGAAACAACAACCGAAGUGUCACAGGAUGAAUCUAUGCUAUUUGGAGAGGGAGUAUACAUUUAACUUGAAGCAAUCCCUGGAAGAAAAAUUCUACUAGCAGAGAUGCUCUGAGCAGAGAGAAAGCCUGUCUAUAUAGUGAAAGAAUGAAACCAAUACAUUGAAAAAAACUGAGAAGAGAAAGAGGUAGAGACUUCAUCUGAUACAAGCAUGCUUGAAACAAGAGACACCUGUAUGAUUCCAUCUUCCCAGGAGCUAGCAGGCAGUUCUUGUUGAGUUCAAGCCAGUUGAGACCAUCAACCCUUCAACUGAGCCUGCAUGGGUGCGUAAAGUGUGACCUUUUGAUGUCAAAGGGCCAAAACCUGCACCCUCCUUUCAUGCUAAUUCAACCAUUUUCUGAACAUGCAUCCUAUGAAGAGCCAUGUAGCUCAAUUAUGCUUGUGCAGAAACCCUGAUUACCUCACCUUUCCCACCUGCCAAUCACCUUUACCCAUACUUCACACCAUCCUGCUUUCUAUCCCGCUAAUUACCCCUAAGCCCUGUUUUCAGGGAGGUGGAUUUGCGAUUUGUUCUCCUUCUCCUUGCUCAGCAGCCUGGUAAGCAAUCUCACAAAAUAAAAUCUUUUCUUUUUUGCAAA